UACGUAGGGUGCGAGCGUUGUCCGGAAUUACUGGGCGUAAAGCGUGCGCAGGCGGCGCGUUAAGACAGGUGUGAAAGCCCCGAGCUUAACUUGGGAAUUGCGCUUGUGACUGGCGUGCUGGAGUGUGGCAGAGGGAGGUGGAAUUCCACGUGUAGCAGUGAAAUGCGUAGAGAUGUGGAGGAACACCGAUGGCGAAGGCAGCCUCCUGGGCCAGCACUGACGCUCAUGCACGAAAGCGUGGGGAGCAAACAGG
rnacentral:rRNA from 1 species